rnacentral:rRNA from 1 species
AAUCUUGCACAAUGGAGGAAACUCUGAUGCAGCGACGCCGCGUUAACGAUGAAGGCUUUCGUGUCGUAAAGUUCUGUCCUUGGGGACGAUAAUGACGGUACCCAAGGAGGAAGCCCCGGCUAACUACGUGCCAGCAGCCGCGGUCAUACGUAGGGGGCAAGCGUUGUCCGGAAUUAUUGGGCGUAAAGGGUUCGCAGGCGGGCGUUUAAGUCAGAUGUGAAAUUCAUGGGCUCAACCCAUGUUAGCAUUUGAAACUGGAGGGCUUGAGUUAAGGAGAGGAAAGUGGAAUUCCUAGUGUAGCGGUGAAAUGCGUAGAUAUUAGGAGGAAUACCAGUGGCGAAGGCGACUUUCUGGACUUAUACUGACGCUGAGGAACGAAAGCGUGGGGAGCAAACA